rnacentral:rRNA from 1 species
AUUGAACGCUGGCGGCAGGCCUAACACAUGCAAGUCGAGCGGGGUUUUCGGACCUAGCGGCGGACGGGUGAGUAAUGCGUAGGAAGCUACCCGAUAGAGGGGGAUACCAGUUGGAAACGACUGUUAAUACCGCAUAAUGUCUACGGACCAAAGUGUGGGACCUUCAGGCCACAUGCUAUCGGAUGCGCCUACGUGGGAUUAGCUAGUUGGUGAGGUAAUGGCUCACCAAGGCGCAGAUCCCUAGCUGGUUUGAGAGGAUGAUCAGCCACACUGGAACUGAGACACGGUCCAGACUCCUACGGGAGGCAGCAGUGGGGAAUAUUGGACAAUGGGCGCAAGCCUGAUUCAGCCAUGCCGCGUGUGUGAAGAAGGCCUUCGGGUUGUAAAGCACUUUCAGUAGGGAGGAAGCGUUGUGUGUUAAUAGUACACAGCGUUGACGUUACCUACAGAAGAAGCACCGGCUAACUCUGUGCCAGCCGCCGCGGUAAAAC